UGGCUUGGAAGCAGCCAUUCAUUUAAAGAGUGCGUAACAGCUCACUAGUCGAGCGAUCCGGCAUGGAUAAUAAUCGGGCAUAAACAUACUACCGAAGCUAUGGACUUGUAAAAGUGGUAGGGGAGCAUUGUAGUGUCGUCGAAGGUGAAGCGUGAGCUUUGCUGGAGAAGCUACAAAAGAAAAUGUAGGCAUAAGUAACGAUAAUGCGGGCGAGAAACCCGCACACCGAAAGACUAAGGUUUCCUCAGCUAUGCUAAUCAGCUGAGGGUUAGUCGGGACCUAACGCGAACCCGAAAGGGGUAGUGGAUGGACAACAGGUUAAUAUUCCUGUACCUGCUCACGCUAAAAGUGACGGAGGCGAAAAGUUAGUGCGCACAGACGGAAUUGUGCGUUGAAGCCAGUGGUAACACGGCGAUAGUACACUAAGGCUUCGGCUGCGGUGAUAAUCUAGCAAAUCGACUUCCAAGAAAAGCAAGUGAAGCAGCCCGUACCCUAAACCGACACAGGUAGUUGGGAUGAGAAUUCUAAGGUGCUCGAGAGAUUCAUGGCUAAGGAACUAGGCAAAAUCGACCCGUAACUUCGGGAGAAGGGUCGCCCAUCUUCGGAUGGGCCGCAGUGAAGAGGUCCAGGCGACUGUUUAUCAAAAACACAGGGCUCUGCUAAAUCGAGAGAUGAAGUAUAGGGCCUGACACCUGCCCGGUGCCGGAAGGUUAAGGGGAGACGUUAGCUUCGGCGAAGCGUUGAGCUGAAGCCCCGGUAAACGGCGGCCGUAACUAUAACGGUCCUAAGGUAGCGAAAUUCCUUGUCGGGUAAGUUCCGACCUGCACGAAUGGUGCAACGAUCUGGACACUGUCUCAGCCAUGAGCUCGGUGAAAUUGUAGUAUCGGUGAAGAUGCCGGUUACCCGCUGUGGGACGAAAAGACCCCGUGAACCUUUACUGUAGCUUAACAUUGCUUCUGGGCAAGUGACGUGUAGGAUAGGUGGGAGGCUAUGAGCCGGUGUCGCUAGGCAUCGGGGAGCCGUUGUUGAAAUACCACCCUUCACUUGCUUAGGAUCUAACCCAUUUUAUGGGAACAUUGUUUGGUGGGCAGUUUGACUGGGGUGGUCGCCUCCAAAAGAGUAACGGAGGCUUCCAAAGGUCCCCUCAGCACGCUUGGCAACCGUGCGUGGAGUGCAAUGGCACAAGGGGGCUUGACUGAGAGGCAUACAGGCCGACCAGGUACGAAAGUAGGGCAUAGUGAUCCGGUGGUUCCGCAUGGAAGGGCCAUCGCUCAAAGGAUAAAAGGU
rnacentral:rRNA from 1 species